UACGAAGGGGGCUAGCGUUGCUCGGAAUCACUGGGCGUAAAGGGUGCGUAGGCGGGUCUUUAAGUCAGGGGUGAAAUCCUGGAGCUCAACUCCAGAACUGCCUUUGAUACUGAAGAUCUUGAGUUCGGGAGAGGUGAGUGGAACUGCGAGUGUAGAGGUGAAAUUCGUAGAUAUUCGCAAGAACACCAGUGGCGAAGGCGGCUCACUGGCCCGGUACUGACGCUGAGGCGCGAAAGCGUGGGGAGCGAACCGG
rnacentral:rRNA from 1 species